UGCUGCUCCAGAGAAUGGGAGACAAUGGAGCAAUGGAUGCAAACUGCUCAACCUUAGGAGGAACUUCCUGAGAGCUGAGGUCCAAAAUGCCUUCAAGGGCACAGUUUGGGGGCUACUGGUCUAAAAGGAGAUCCGUCGCCCGGUUAGACUGGCUCAAUGGGCAAAGGGAGUUCAUCUCAAAGGUCCUCCUCAAGAUCCUUUUGCAUUCCUAGCGUCAUUUGGGUUUUGCAAAGUACCCUCAGACCCUUCCUCUCCACAGUUUCUCUUAACGCUUGUUUCUUUCUGGGCAUUUCCCAAGCGCCAUCUUCUGCCUCAACCCGACUGGCUUCUCCAUCUGUGGCUUUUCACCCUACAGUUUUCCCCGGGUGUUAUUUUCUUUAUUAGAGUAUUUAUAACUUAAUGCGGAGUCUAUGGCCCACACUGCAGAACUGACGCAGUUUGACGCCGCUUUAACUGCCAUGGCUCCGUUCUGUGGACUCCUGGGAUCUGUAGUUUGUUGUGGCACCAAAGCUCCCUGGCAGAGAAGGCUAAAUAGCAAACAAAACUACAAAUGGGCAGGAUAUAGGUUAAUCAUCAUCAUCAUCAUCAUCAUAAUAUAAUGAUUAUUUCUCACCCAGUUCUUCCCACUGAAUAGUAAAGAGAAUGAUGAUGGUAAUAGUAAUACUAUCACCAAUAUCGUCCAGUUUAUUUGUCUGUGGCACAAUGUCCGUUACAAGAUAUUACAAAAGCAGCACCGCAGGGAGAUUAUGAUCGCAAUACGGUCGGCCCUUUUUAUACACGGAUUCAAGCAUCCACAGUUUGUUCAAAAAAAGUAGACAUUUCAGAUGUCAAACCUUGAUUUUCCACAUUUUAUAAGGGACACCAUUUUGCCAUGUCAUUAUAUUUAAUGGGACUUGAGCAUCCAGGGAUUUUGUUAUCCACGGAUGGGGAACUCGGAACCAAACCCCAGUGGAUAACAAGGGUCCACCAUACAACAUGCGCAAUACAAGAUCUCCAGAUGCCCUGGUUUGCCAGGAACAUUCCGGAACGUUCUCCUGCCUUCUAAGUUCUAGAACCGGCCGGCGUUUGACCGUUGGGAGCCAAAAUGGACAGCCCCAGCGCCGCGUCGUUGCUCCCACCGAUAGGCAAUCCGACAAUCCAGUGCGUCUUCCGCCAAGAAAUGGAGGCCAAUGUAUCCUUCCCAACCUUGGUAGACCCUUCUUUGUAUAGGAGAGUCCCUCCGAAAAUGCCAUGGCCAGGAAAGGGCUCUGUUCCGGAGAAAGGAGCUGCGCAAAGGAGACAACGCGGUGGCGGCGGCGGCAGGAAGAUGGAGGACAAGGAGGAGGAAGGACCAAGGCGUCUGGAGGCAGGAACCGGCAAGUUUUACUUUGAGAAAUGCCAAGUGACCAUCCACACUUAAGAAGACGUGGACCUCUGGUUCGGCUUUCCCUUCCCCUGAACCCCAGUCCCUUUCUGGCAUGAGGAACCGGCAAGAUCUCUAUGGACCUUUGGCUUUCUGGUCUGUGACAGCAUGAAACCAGGCCCCAGGCCUUGGAAGAGGGUUGAUCUUUUGGGAUUAUAUGGACUACAACUCACAGGAGCUAGCAUGGCCAUUUGGCAUUAGUGCAAAAGAGGAACUCUUCAGGGCUCUGGUCCCAGCUUCAGCAAUGGGGCAAUGCCAUCUGCCUUCAAACCAUCUGCCUUCAAACCAGGACCGGUUCACAGGGCUCUUCCACAAGACUUUCCUGCCGCUUUUGAAAACCAAGGGCACAGGUUUACCACCCUUGUUUUUCAGGAUUCAACAAAGCAAGGCAACUAAACGAAAACCUCUUUCCUGCUCUGGUUCUUGCCCUUCUGCCACCCAGAAACAAAGGGCAUCCUUUAUUGUAUUUGCCAUGUGAACGCUGUAUGGUUUUCUCUUGUGCCGAAAUGCAUACCUUCCCAUUUCCCCUCCGUUUUCCCUGGAACAUUUGUGUUUUGAACUCUGCAAAUGCCAAAUAAACUUUGUCUUGUGUCCAACUAGAA